GAGCUAUAAAAACAGACCAAUGAGAUGACCCGAUUCUGUUCCUGCCCUGAGAAUUCUCCUGCCAGCCAGCCAACAACCCCCUCCCGCAAACUCUGCCCCUCAGCCGCUCCUACGACAGCACCAUCCAGAAGCAUUUACAGAGCAGACUCACUCCUGUGAAGUUAGAUCCCUGUUAAUCAGCUAAAGCGCAGCAACAGCACAGAGAUACCAGGUACAUUUCUAACGGCACCUUCUAGAGUCUAAAAUUCUCGCCUUCUCUAAAUUGAAGUAACAAGACCCGAAUAUAUAAAUUGAUAUUGGUUUCGGGAUUAGCUCUGUUUCGUCGAAGAAUCUUUCAGUCCAAACAUGACUCUACCUUGGAUCGCAGCUGUGAUAAUCGUGUCAAUUCUAAAAGGCAUCUAUGGAGCAGACUCAGUGACCCAAACUGAAGGCACCUUUAUCAUCCCCCAAGGGGACUCAGUGCGUCUGAACUGCACCUAUCAAUUUUCUCUCGCUGCUAAUGUUUAUCCCUUCUGGUACGUGCAGUUCCCCAGCCAGCCCCCCAGGCUCUUCCUGCGGGACCUGGGACGCGAGGACUCGGAUGAAGGGAUCAGAAAAGGGUUCAAUGCCACCCACGAUAAAAAGCACAAUUCCUUCCACCUGUGGAAACCGUCCAGCGAACUGAGCGACUCCGGGACCUAUUACUGCGCCGCGAGAGACACAGUGACACGGACCGGCAGGGGAACUGCGCAAAAACCGUGCAGGGGCUGUGCGGAGCAGCGGGGAGGUGGGCACUGGUUCCCCAGCCAGCCCCCCAGGCUCUUCCUGAGGGACCCGGGACAGGAGGACUCGGAUGAAGGGAUCAGAAAAGGGUUUGAUGCCACCCACGCUAAAAAGGACAAAUCCUUCCAGCUGUGGAAACCAUCCGGCGAAGUGAGUGACUCCGGGAUCUAUUACUGCGCCGGGAGAGACUUGACACGCACCGGUAGGGGAGCUGAGCAAAAACUGCCCAAGGGCUGUGUGGAGCAGCAGGGAUGCGGGCACCGGGGUUGA